rnacentral:rRNA from 1 species
UUGGUCAAUGGGGGCAAUCCUGAACCAGCAAUGCCGCGUGUGGGAUGACGGGGUCUCAGCCCUGUAAACCACUGUCGGACGGGACAAAAGGAGCCUUCAGGGCUCUGGGACGGUACCGUCAAAGGAAGGGUCGGCUAACUACGUGCCAGCAGCCGCGGUAAUACGUAGGACCCGAGCGUUGUCCGGAAUUACUGGGUAUAAAGGGUGCGCAGGCGGCCNUGUGCGUCAGAGGUGAAAUCUCCGGGCUUAACCCGUAGGGUGCCUUUGAUACGGCAUGGCUUGAGUCCUUACAGAGGGUGAUGGAAUUCCUGGUGUAGCAGUGAAAUGCGUAAAUAUCAGGAGGAACACCGGUGGCGAAGGCGGUCACCUGGCUCGGCACUGACGCUUAGGCACGAAAGCGUGGGGAUCAAACAGGAUUAGAUACCCUGGUAGUCCACGCCCUAAACGAUGUAUGCUUGGUGUUGGAUCAGCAAUGAUUCAGUGCCGAAGGGAAUCUGUUAAGCAUACCACCUGG